rnacentral:rRNA from 1 species
ACAGAGUUUGAUCCUGGCUCAGAUUGAACGCUGGCGGCAUGCUUUACACAUGCAAGUCGAACGGUAACAGGGAGCUUGCUCCGCUGACGAGUGGCGAACGGGUGAGUAAUAUAUCGGAACGUACCCAAGAGUGGGGGAUAACGUAGCGAAAGUUACGCUAAUACCGCAUACGAUCUAUGGAUGAAAGUGGGGGAUCGCAAGACCUCAUGCUCCUGGAGCGGCCGAUAUCUGAUUAGCUAGUUGGUGAGGUAAAGGCUCACCAAGGCGACGAUCAGUAGCUGGUCUGAGAGGACGACCAGCCACACUGGAACUGAGACACGGUCCAGACUCCUACGGGAGGCAGCAGUGGGGAAUUUUGGACAAUGGGCGCAAGCCUGAUCCAGCAAUGCCGCGUGAGUGAAGAAGGCCUUCGGGUUGUAAAGCUCUUUUGUCAGGGAAGAAACGGUGGAGGCUAAUAUCCUUUGCUAAUGACGGUACCUGAAGAAUAAGCACCGGCUAACUACGUGCCAGCAGCCGCGGUAAUACGUAGGGUGCAAGCGUUAAUCGGAAUUACUGGGCGUAAAGCGUGCGCAGGCGGUUUUGUAAGUCUGUCGUGAAAUCCCCGGGCCC